GUGAUAGACUGGGUUCCAGCCAUCUCUAAAAUGGAAGUCUCUACUCUGAGAUUUGUGACCCAGCUGCAAGACCUUCAGUCGUCUGUCAACCUCUGAGCAGCUUCAUGGAAGAAAGCAGCCGACAAGUGGAAACAAAGGAGAGACAGGCGCUGACAGCAACGCAGCAGUGGGCCGGUUAUUAGACUACACAGUGACUAUAUGGGGAUCUAAGCCUUUUUAGCAUGUCAUGCUGUAACUAACUGGAUGUUAAACUUCAGCUUCUGAAAGAGUUACGAUUGUUUUGCA